UACGUAGGGACCAAGCGUUGUCCGGAAUCAUUGGGCGUAAAGAGCGUGUAGGCGGCUUGUUAAGUCUUGCGUGAAAUCUCGGGGCUCAACCCCGAGCGGUCGUGAGAAACUGGCAGGCUAGAGUGCGGGAGAGGAGAGUGGAAUUCCUGGUGUAGCGGUGAAAUGCGCAGAUAUCAGGAAGAACACCGACGGCGAAGGCAGCUCGCUGGGACGGUACUGACGCUGAGGCGCGAAAGCGUGGGGAGCGAACAGG
rnacentral:rRNA from 1 species